GGAGAGAUGCCUGAGUGGCCGAAAGGAACAGUUUGCUAAACUGUCGUACUGGUAACGGUACCGAGGGUUCGAAUCCCUCUCUCUCCG
rnacentral:tRNA from 16 species